rnacentral:tRNA from 1 species
GCUGGUGUGGCUCAGUGGACAGAGCAUCGCCCUGCGGACUGAAGGUGCUGGGUUCAAUUCCAGUCAAGGGCA